rnacentral:rRNA from 1 species
GACGAACGCUGGCGGCGUGCUUAACACAUGCAAGUCGAACGGAAAGGCCCUGCUUUUGUGGGGUGCUCGAGUGGCGAACGGGUGAGUAACACGUGAGUAACCUGCCCUUGACUUUGGGAUAACUUCAGGAAACUGGGGCUAAUACCGGAUAGGAGCUCCUGCUGCAUGGUGGGGGUUGGAAAGUUUCGGCGGUUGGGGAUGGACUCGCGGCUUAUCAGCUUGUUGGUGGGGUAGUGGCUUACCCAGGCUUUGACGGGUAGCCGGCCUGAGAGGGUGACCGGCCACAUUGGGACUGAGAUACGGCCCAGACUGCUACGGGAGGCAGCAGUGGGGAAUAUUGCACAAUGGGCGGAAGCCUGAUGCAGCAACGCCGCGUGCGGGAUGAAGGCCUUCGGGUUGUAAACCGCUUUCGCCUGUGACGAAGCGUGAGUGACGGUAAUGGGUAAAGAAGCACCGGCUAACUACGUG